rnacentral:rRNA from 1 species
AGAGUUUGAUCCUGGCUCAGAACGAACGCUGGCGGCAGGCCUAACACAUGCAAGUCGAGCGCUCUCUUCGGAGGGAGCGGCGGACGGGUGAGUAACGCGUGGGAACGUGCCCUUCUCUAUGGAAUAGCCACUGGAAACGGUGAGUAAUACCAUAUACGCCCUUCGGGGGAAAGAUUUAUCGGAGAAGGAUCGGCCCGCGUUAGAUUAGGUAGUUGGUGGGGUAAUGGCCUACCAAGCCUACGAUCUAUAGCUGGUUUUAGAGGAUGAUCAGCCACACUGGGACUGAGACACGGCCCAGACUCCUACGGGAGGCAGCAGUGGGGAAUCUUAGACAAUGGGCGCAAGCCUGAUCUAGCCAUGCCGCGUGAGUGAUGAAGGCCUUAGGGUCGUAAAGCUCUUUCGCCAGAGAUGAUAAUGACAGUAUCUGGUAAAGAAACCCCGGCUAACUCCGUGCCAGCAGCCGCGGUAAUACGGAGGGGGUUAGCGUUGUUCGGAAUUACUGGGCGUAAAGCGCACGUAGGCGGAUUAGAAAGUUGGGGGUGAAAUCCCGGGGCUCAACCUCGGAACUGCCUCCAAAACUCCUAGUCUAGAGUUCGAGAGAGGUGAGUGGAAUUCCAAGUGUAGAGGUGAAAUUCGUAGAUAUUUGGAGGAACACCAGUGGCGAAGGCGGCUCACUGGCUCGAUACUGACGCUGAGGUGCGAAAGUGUGGGGAGCAAACAGGAUUAGAUACCCUGGUAGUCCACACCGUAAACGAUGAAUGCCAGUCGUCGGGUAGUAUACUGCUCGGUGACACACCUAACGGAUUAAGCAUUCCGCCUGGGGAGUACGGUCGCAAGAUUAAAACUCAAAGGAAUUGACGG